ensembl:processed_transcript
GUUAAGUUGUUUGCAGUUUCAUUGUUGUAAAAAUACCAUACUUUUUCCUUUUUUAUCAGCAGGUGGAGAGACCGUCUGGGCAGCAGAAACAAGACAACUAAUCAUAGUUAGGUUGAGAUUAGUAUUAUUAACUUGACUAGUUUGGUUGCAGACUUGUUCAAUACUUAACAAUUUGUAUGAGUUACAAGAUCAAUGGUCCUGCUAUCAAUGUUUUUGUAACUUAAAUUCAUUACAGUUUAGAUACAAUCAAAUGUCCAAACCAUCUCUGAGUGAAUGACAUCAAGGAAACAGGAUCAAAAGAUCAUUCAUUAUAGACCGUUUCAUAGGUCAUUCUGUUCUCCUGGUUGUGAGCAUGUGCAGAGGCUGUAUUUGUCAG